AUAUAACUGCCAGGUAAGUAUUCAUAAAACUUUGUUUUAUCAUAAAUACUUCAUUUUAACUAGUGUCAUUACACUUUCGUGCAACAUAGAAUGGUCAACACUACAACUGGUAAAACUUUUUAGAUGUCAGGGCAGUGGAAAGACAUCAGGAUGCUUAGCAGGUUUAUUCCCGGUCAGAAACACAGUCUUUGUGGGAAGUUUGCUGCUUUGAGUGAAAUGAAACAACAUAUCGGUUUGAUCAUUCAUUCUAUGGAAGGACAGUGUUUUAGCGAUUGGGGAUUCAGGAAGAACAACUGCCUACAAGGGCCUUUACAUCCGUAAGUUUGGCACUUGGUGUGGAUUUAAGGAACACUCAUUUAGCUUCCUAGCAUGUAGAUGAACAGGGACAUCCGAAUGAUUGUUACUACUUUUUUGGCCCUCAGGCUUGAGCAGUGGAUGUUUCCUUAAAUUUUUACCUAAUUCAGACUCACAGGCCUGCCCCUCGUAACUACUCUGAAUUCUAUUGAGCAAUUUCAAGUUCAAGAAUUGCUUAGUCUCUGUAGAGUCCUUGUAGCUUCAGGGCAAAAAAUUUUCAGAAUUUCCAAUGCUCUUGGUAGAUGUCUCAUUCUUCCAUUGAGAAAAAAUCAACUCUACUACACAAUUCCAUACAGUUCCAUUAACACAGGCAUCUCCUUAACUGCUUGGAGAUGUCAGAAUGUCCCCUCCCAAUAAUAAGAUUUUCAAGUUAUCAUAGGAUCUGUCCUUAAUUUAAAACUGCCAUGGCCUGGGGUCAGAAGCAGUGGUCUGUGUGCUGCUGAGGGUACCAUUCUGGAGGAAUUUUCAGCACCUGGAACCUUGUAGACGUCAAUGUUUUCUGCUUAGAGGAGAUAAGACUUUUCACUGUCUACUUCCAAAGUUAUCGUUCCAUACGUCCUUUCCUCGGUAUUGCAUCAAGUACUUUUAGAUCUUGCCGAGGACUAGCACUGUAAGGUGUUGAGAUGGAAGCCCCUUCAUCUCUAUAUCAGUCUCUCUGGAGUUUAGAUGCGGGUCUAAACUUUAUUUGAAUUUACUGUAAAACCUUUUAUUUAGCAGUGGUUAAUAAGUAAAUUUAUUGUCAGCACCCUUCUUUAAGCUGGUGUAAAGGGAAUGCUAUUUUAGCUUUCUGCCUUAGAGCUGAGGGUGAUGUUAAAGCUAUGCUUUACAGUUUCCUGUAAGAAUUCCAAUGUAACCCCUUGGGGGGAAAAAGAGGAAACUUCUCUAUCCUGUUGGGCAUUUAAAUUUAAAGGUUAAACCUAAAACAUUUUUAUUAUCCUUUUAGAAACCUUGAACAUCUUUAUCAAAGGUAAAUGCUGGAAGAGGCAAAGUUAACCUUUGGUUUUGUGGUUUUAAGGGGGCCGGCCGGAACCCCUAUAUAUGGUGGUAUAAGGCGAAAAAUGCAAAGUCAUGAAAAAAUUCAUGGAGCUUCAUAUGGCAAUUGAGAAUACGUAUACGAAAUAUUUCGUCAAAAUUCCUCUUACUUUCGUAGUUACAGGGUAAUUAGUAAACAUGACUCAAUAAGCCUAAAACAUUCAUCCGUACAAGAAAAUGCAAUAUUUCUUCUGUUAUCGUAAAUUUUGAUAAUUAUUGGCAAAGAAAUUGUGAGAAAUGGCAUCUGUAGAGAUUCCGUGGCUCACAGAAGUGAGUAUCUGGUACUGGUUCAAUCAUGAAUCAGUUGGACCAUAGACUUCAAGUAGAUUACACGUUCGAGUUUCACCUCGUGACAUUCACUUGCUUUUACGUAUGUUUAUGUAUGUUUCGGCAAGAAGUUCAUCAUGCCAAUGAGGAAAAGACAAGGAAAACAUGUCGCUAACAUACAGACGAAGAAAAAUCACUCAAGUAUUAUUACAGAAUAUCAUAAUAUACGCGUAGUUAGGGAAGAGAGAGGGGAGGGUUGCCUAGUAACGCCCCCUUCUUGCCUGACAGCACAUGUCACACUGUGCCCAAGGCUACGAUCUUUGAGCAAAGAGAUCUUCAUUUAUGAUAAAUAACAUAGUUUUGGUUUUUUAAUACCCAAAAUGGAAUAUGAAAUUCAUAAUAAUCAUGAUUUAUCUUCGAGUUUCACCUCUGACAUUCUCUUGCAUUUACGUUUGUUUAUCUUUGUUUCGGGAAGAAUGUCAUCAUGCCAAAGAGGAAAAUACAAGGAAAACAUCUCGCUAACAUACAGAAGAAAAUUCGCUGUAAUAAGCCGAGUUAGUGAAGGGGAGAGAGGGGGUUACAUAGGAAUGAGUGCCCCAUCUUGCCUCAAGCAGUGCCCCAGGCUACGAUAUAUGAGCAAAGGGAUCAUCAUUUAUGAUUAAAUUAUGAUAUAUAAAAUAGUUUUGGUUUAUUAAUACACAAAAAAGAAAUAUACAUUCAUAAUAAUCAUUAUUUAUUAACAUUGUCUUUAUAGAAAUACGAAGGAAAACUUUGAACGCCCGUAUCUCAAAACUAUACUUAUUGACCUUCAAAAUCUAUCUCGUCACUUAGUUUUAAAGCUAUAACAUUGGAAUUUGGUAUAUAACUCAGAAAGACAUUAUAGAACAAUCAAAUAGAGCCCUUUUUUCCAAUUUUUGUUUCGUCUUUUUUUUAUAAAUUUUUUUCUCGUGAUUUACAGGAUUUAUUUUUUUUACCAUAUUGAAAAAUUCAUAUCUAGCAAAAAAAUGACUUUUAGAAAAAAAACUCUCCAUUUGAUUGGAGGUCAACAUCAGGUCUUUAUAUGGUAGUAAUCCCAGGUCUUAAUAUUAAAUAUCAAGGGAGGAGAUAGAAUUUGAAAAAUGGUUAUUUUCGGGAUAAAAUUGCCCUGGCGUCACAAAACUGAAGGUCAGAGGCGAAAAUCAUAUGCGGUUUGGAGAUGUCCCAAGUCACCGUAUUAAGUGGUAUGAAUGUCAAAGUCCUGUCGUUAAAAAACGGCAUUAGCCGGCCGGCCCCCUUAAGAAAAACAGAUGAUGUGGUCAAAGAUUAGCCUAGAAGAGGCAAAAAUCAACCUUUUGUUUUGUGGUUUUAGAACCUAGCUGUCUUUGCCAAUGGUUAAGCUUGAAGGCAAAGUUAACUUUUUGUUUUGUGGUGUUAGAAAACCUAGAAUGCAUUUGUGAAGGUUAAGCCUGGAAGAGGCAAAGUUAACCUUUUGUUUGUGAAUUUUAGAAACUUAUAACGCCUUUGUCAAUGGUUAAACUUGAAGGCAAAGUUAACUUAUAAUGCCUGUACCAUUGGUUAAACUUGAAGGCAAAGUUAACUUUAGUUUUGUGGUUUUAGAAAACCUAGAAUGUACUUAUUUGUGAAGGUUAAGUUAACCUUUUGUGUUGUGAUUUUUAGAAACUUUGUCAAGGAACACAAAGUCCUCUCUGACAUAUUGGAUAGGCUAGUGCAUGAGAACAAGCUCCAUAUCUUCUACAUUUAUUGAAGUUAAACAUUCCUAAUGUGAGCAGCAGUUAAAACUUCAUUUAGUGUUUAAGUCAAUUUGUCGCUCCAGAAUAGGAUUGAUGUGUCACAGUAGAACUUUUGUUUAAAUUCUGGGUUUUAUUAUUAUGGGGAGCAUGAAGGUACAAAUUUUGUGUAGGAGCGUACCUUUAUAUUGUAAAAGUAUUUAUUUUAAGUGACUCGUUUUAUAGAGCUUUUGGACCCAGGCACAGGGUUCCCACAUACCGCUUGCGUUUCAUGCUGACUGAAUUGAAGCAGUUUUCUCCACAAGGCUACUCUUUGCUGCAUACGUAUGAGAGCCUUGCUCCCUGAAUGGAAUCCAACUUCUGGUGGUAGUAAAAUCCACCAAGGAUUCUAGAUCAGGUGAGAAUGUUGUGGAUUUUGUAUAAGAAAUCUUUAGCUCGAAUGGCUGAGCGGAAUUUUGUCUAGCUGCACUACCCACCAUCCUCUUCCUAAUGUGGGAAUCAGCUAAAUUUAACAGUAGGUAAGAUUCAUCUCAAAUAAUAUAAAUUUUCAUAAUAAAAUUUAUUAUUUGGAUACUUACCUACUGUUAAAGUAGACCCACCCAGCCUCCCCACAACUUAGUGGGCUGUCAAGGAGAAUUCUGACAAGAGCUAAAACAUACGAAACACACCUGGUGGAGAACAGGUAAACUAGACAGUCAUUCGGGCAGCCAUUCGAUUUGUUUGUUUGAAUACCGACUCGUCUAAUCGUCAGGGAGAUAUAGCUAAAUUUAACAGUAGGUAAGUAUCCAAAUAAUAAAUUUUAUUAUGAAAAUUUAUAUUUUCAUUCACUGCUCACCUCACCAUGUUCUGUUUUCUUUUUCUUCCUUUCCUAUUUCUAUAGGUAAAAUUGCUAAGAUUUUGCUCCAUUAUUACUGGAAUUAAUCACUUAUAUUUUUGUUUGUUUUGGAAAGAUCAUAGUUAUCAGUUAUCAUAGUAGGCAUUACUUGAUCUCCAUUCAGUAUUGUGUACAUUGUUUUAUUUAUUCAUGACUUUAUUGAUUGCACACACAUUAUUUGGUGCUAGGGUCAGCCCCUUCUGGUAAGGGAAUAUUUGCAAUUUUAACAGUACUGUACUUCAUUUUUAUAAUCUGUUCUCUCCAAAUCAUCAAUAGGAUGAUUGUAAGUUUAUUGCUUCAAUGAGUCAGUGAAUUAAAAAAAAAAAAAGGGGAAACAGGGGCUAAUCUUAAUGGCAGAAGGCCUUCGACCAUGAAUCAGUUUUAAGACGUGUGUAACCAGAGAAAUUUAAUUGUGAAGUAUGGAAAAUGUCUUUGAAUAUUUGGUUGACUCAUGAAGAUAUGAUCUAAUGUCCAGUUUUUUGGUACCUAAUUCCCAGUACUGUAACAAGUUCUCAGCUGUUUUGUCAUGCUUAUAUACAAUGAGCAUUCUUUUCAGAAAAUCUUUAGUGUUAUGUAAGUAUUUUGCAUUCACUGUAAUAAUUGUGAUAAUGGUACAACUUGAAUGGCUAAAGAUUUACUUUUCCAUGAUAAAAGUUUGUGUAUCUUUGUUAUUCAGUAAAUAUUUUUGUAUCAAUAACUCAAUUUUUUUAUUUCCUUUUGAUGAAAGUAUUUUGCAGAUGCUGAUUUGGUUAAUCUAUAUUAUAUUUGCUAAAUAUGUUAUUUGCAUGCAGUAGGAACAGGCUGAAGAAGAGUGAUUCAUAUUAUGUGAUGUGAUUGUGUCAAGCAUUUCCUCAUGUCAUUGCUUUGGAAAAUUUCAUGUUAUGAUCAAAUAUGAUUUUAGCUGGAUCAUAUCCUUAGCAUAUGAAUGAUGCAUUGUUUGUAUUUUUGUUAUAUGAAGUAAAUUUUCAAAGAACUUUGUUUCCGUGUAUGAGCAAAAAAUUCAAUUUACGAAGCUGUUUGGUAGAAUGAGGCGCAUGGCUGGCCAGGAUUGUGAGGAGACAGAAUCCCCUCAGGCAUGGGUGAUUGAGAGAGGGCCAUGUGGAUCCAGGGACAGGAGGAGGUAGUAGUGGGAAGAUGAUAAAACAACUGGACAGUGGUUCUCUUUUCUGAAGUGUCAAAGCGGGAAUGAGUUACUUUUACAGUGCAAAAAAAUUGUAAAUUGCAAGUGUCACUCAGUAGAUAUUUUACCAUAACAAAAAGAAGUGAUUCAGGUGCUUUGAAGUGACUUAUGAUACAGAGGUGAGUGAGAGAAUUUUGGAUAAAGCACUUAAACAUCCUUCAUUGCAUAAGUCUCACAGACAAAUCCAAGAGGAUCCCUUACAGGACCAUUAAAUUGCCUGGAAGGUAUUGUGGCAGAUAUAGCAGGAUAUUUGGAAAGUUUUGAGGCUGAAUCUGUUAAGAAGGAUAUUGUGUCUUUGGGAAAGUCCAUGGGGUCAUAUGUGACUGACGAUGUGGAGGAGAACCAAGAAGAGCUCAACACAGGACCUUCAUAGGGAUCAGCAACAGACAGCAGCUGUAGAAUUUUCUUCAGAGGAAAAGGAGGAGGGAAGGGAGGACAUCUUAAUAUAAGAAAUGAGCACACUAGCGGAAAGUGUAAUGUUUCCUUGGAAAAUAUCACUGAUAAAUGGUGGCAAACCAUGUUAUGAACCUGCUGCAUAACAGUGCCAUCUCUCACUUCAGGGACAUUUUAAAAUGCAAGCAAAAACAAAAAACAUUGGACAGAUUUUUAGUUAGAAAGGAAACAGUCUUGUGAAAAAUCGGUUUUUAUAGAAGGGGACUCCCUUUCCAAACGACAUCUCUCUUUACCUUUCGUAUAGGCCUUCAGUUGCAAUUACAGCAUCAGAAAAUGUAAACACUCCUACCUGUGUGAUUAAUGUUGUACUGGUAGUGAUAGUGCUGCCAAAUCCCACGCAGAGGCGCAACACCACUUCCAGCCCCAAUAAGAAUGAUUGGUGAACGCCCUUCAUCAGGCAGGUGGAACUCAGGAACACUUAAGAUUUAAAAUAAAACUGUUUAAGCAUUUUUUUUAAGACAUCGACUAACUAAAGGACAUCUAAUAGUCAGAUGCCUUACUCUGAUGAAUAUUGUUUAAUUGCAUAUGAGCAUAAUCAUCAGAUGAUUUGUGAAACGUAUGGUAAUUACCGUAAUUAGACAUUAGGAUAAGCGACCUCUCAAUUCGUUACUAGCUUUAUCCAGAGUACCAUUAUUCAAAUACAGUUGUCACAAGAACCUAUCAUGGCCACACUAAGCUUUGUUAAAGUUAAAAGCAGUAAACUUUACAAAAGAAGAAGUAGAAGCAGAAAUUGACACACCAUCAGGUUAGAAAUUUGAUCCAUAUGAUGAUUUCCUUACAAAUAUAUCACAAGACAUCAUCAACAAACUUAUGAUUAUGAAUUUUUAGGAUUUUAAUUGUUUAAAAAUGUUUUUAAAAUGACCUCACAAUUGCUUGGGCUUACAUCAACUGAUAGUGUUAUUUACCUUAAUAAAUGGGAGGGGUCUUAUAUGGCAAACAAACCUCUAAACCUACAUUUUCACAUAAAAAAUGGUUGGUUGCCUUAUACACCGACAUGGUAUUUAUAGUGUGUUUUUGUGUAUAUGCACACUGAUAUAUAUCCUUAAAACUAUAGUUUCUUGCUUCAUUAUUCUCUUAGGUACACAGCAAAUCUUGGAGGUGGUCUUCAGCUUACCUUUUGUGGAACAACUCGAUUCUGUCUCUAGGCUUCAGUGUCCUGAUGUAGGAGGUGCUGACGCCCUCAUGCAACACCCCUUUACCAUCUGGGAGAGGUCAUCAGGAUGUUGUUAAUGGAUUGCAGAAAAGCUUUAGACUAUCAUUAAAGAUUAUUUCUUGUUUUGUUCUUAGAAAUUUUACUUUCUUUUGUAACUUAUAGACUACCUAUUUAGGGAUCCUGUAUUUUUCAAUCUGCAUUCUCCUUUUUGCAGUUUGAAAAUGACUCACAUUAGUAUUUAUUAUGGAACUUUUGUGCAUUCAACUUUAUCAAUUUGAUUUUAUUAUUAUUCAAAAGAAACAAGGCAAAAAUAGCCAUUAAAUUAAAAAGCAAACUAAUACCUUUUUUAAUAAAAUUGAGAAGAGAAUAUUAAA